UGGAACGUAGCAUAAUGGUAAUGCCCCUGCUUUUGGUGCAGGUGAUUGUAGGUUCGAGUCCUACCGUUCCAGCCA
rnacentral:tRNA from 3 species